rnacentral:tRNA from 1 species
UGCGGGAUCGUCUAGUGGUAGGACGCUUGACUCUGAAUCAAGUAACCUAGGUUCGAAUCCUGGUCCCGCAG